rnacentral:rRNA from 1 species
CCUACGGGCGGCUGCAGUGGGGAAUUUUGCGCAAUGGGCGAAAGCCUGACGCAGCAACGCCGCGUGAGUGAUGAAGGCUUUCGGGUCGUAAAGCUCUGUCGAGGGGAAAGAAGUGUACGGGGGCUAAUAUCCUCUGUACUUGACGGUACCCCUAAAGGAAGCACCGGCUAACUCCGUGCCAGCAGCCGCGGUAAUACGGGGGUGCAGCGUGUCGGAAUAUGGCGUAAGAGCGUGUAGGCGGUUUGUUAAUGUCAUGAUGUGAAAGACCCUGGGCUCAACCCAGGAAGUGCAUUGGAAACUGGCAGACUUGAAUACGGGAGAGGGCAGUGGAAUUCCUAGUGUAGGAGUGAAAUCCGUAGAUAUUAGGAGGAACACCGGUGGCGAAGGCGGCUGCCUGGACCGAUAUUGACGCUGAGACGCGAAAGCGUGGGUAGCAAACA